AGGACUGAGGGGAUGUGACUGGAGGCAGGGAGGGUGGAGCAGGAGCUGUGAGGAGGGUGCUGAUAGAAAGGGGAUUUGGAGGGAAGGAGAUGAUGGCAAGAGAUUUCUUGGACUUGCCAGCUGAUUUGAUAAAAGAGGCAAAGGAGAUGAAGUAAAGAAAAAAGAGACCCUCUCCCCAGAGUCUGUGUCUGGUUGACUGGAAGCAUGGUGCAUGGUGCUUGGUGGCUGCACAAGACGAGCAAAGAAGUCUGAGGAGGAGCUUUUGGGUUGGGGCGAGGGGUGUGGAUGCUCCUGGCUAAGGUCGAGACGUGUACGUGGGCUCCGUCUCUGUCAUCAGUCAUGAAGCCAAAUUAAACUGAAGCAUAAGCAUUGCCCUCCAUCAUGUUUAUCUGCAAGAUAUUAAUAAAAACACGGUGGCUGUUCAUUCCAUUUUUCACUUUUACUUGUCAUUACCUUGUUGCACCAAUCAAGCAAACAGAUGGUGAUCACUUAAUUGAAGUACAGGCUGAGCUUUACACCUAUAUUUCAUAACUGUCUGGACGAUGGAACCAUGUGCACGUUUUACCAACAGCCCUUGAGAGAGGUUAUCUUGCAUGGCUUAAGGAGAAAGAAUCCACAUGUCGAAGGAACACAUUUAUAAUUGUGGGAUAUCAGGCACCACUGACAGUGACUAAAGAAGUUUGGAGGCAUCGGUGCUCAGAUCUCAUCUUCUCCUGGAGUGGGCCAUCUCUGUCUAUUCCUGGACAGUCUGCCCUGCUUAUCAGCUCACAGCUAAAUCUUCCACCUGAACAGCUUCUCCCAUCCUCAUUAACUCAGGACGGUCGCUGUGCUCAGGAUCUUCUGACACUUUCUCUGGCUUUUUUCAUCCUGACUUCUCCACGUUCCAUGGGUAUCUUCCCCUUCACUUUCAAGGAUACACAAGUUCACUCAACUUGAUAAUUCUUCAUUUGGUUCUGUUGCAUACUCUAAGAAAUCUGUCAAUCUCCUCUCUUUUACUGCCCAAACUUUUAAGUGUAUAUUAUAUACGUCCUCUGCCUCUAUCUUUCACUGCCUGCUCAUUCUUUAAAAUUUUGAUUAAAUUUUAACUCAACAAAACUUCUUGUGGCAACAUCCUAAGUCUUUACUCUUCUUGAUGCCUUUUUGAAAUUCAAUUCUUCUAACAAUCCCUUCUUCUAGAAUAAUCAUUCGCAAUCUUAUCAGACCCUCAAUUCCUUUUAGCACAAAUACUUGUGAUGCUGCCCUAUCAUUCUGUAAUGAAAUGCGUUGACAAUAUAACUUUACUCACAGAAUUUUAAUAGUUCUGUUUAAUGCCUUAACUGUAUAUACAUGAGAAUUAAAGGAAACAUUUCUAAUGAAACAAUAUGCAUCAAUAUAUGGAAUCACCAUUAAUAGAACAGAUACAGAUGCAGAUUGAUACAAAUGUAAUUCAAAUACCAUGAGCAGCACUGCCCUCAAAAAUAGGAAUGUAU
rnacentral:lncRNA from 1 species